rnacentral:rRNA from 1 species
UGUACAGGUGGUGCAUGGUUGUCGUCAGCUCGUGUCGUGAGAUGUUGGGUUAAGUCCCGCAACGAGCGCAACCCUCGUUCUAUGUUGCCAGCACGUGAUGGUGGGAACUCAUAGGAGACUGCCGGGGUCAACUCGGAGGAAGGUGGGGAUGACGUCAAAUCAUCAUGCCCUUUAUGUCUUGGGCUUCACGCAUGCUACAAUGGCUGGUACAGAGAGAGGCGAACCCGUGAGGGUAAGCGAAUCCCUUAAAGCCAGUCUCAGUUCGGAUCGUAGUCUGCAAUUCGACUACGUGAAGUCGGAGUCGCUAGUAAUCGCAGAUCAGCAACGCUGCGGUGAAUACGUUCCCGGGCCUUGUACACACCGCCCGUCAAGUCACGAAAGUCGGUAACACCCGAAGCCGGUGUCCCAACCCUUAUGGGAGGGGGCCGUCUAAGGUGGGAC